rnacentral:lncRNA from 1 species
UCAGUUUAACCAGACCUACUAUGUCAGGUCAGAGCCAGCCGGAGCCUCAGUAGAGAGUGUAGAAGCCUCCGACACCCCACGUCUCAGAAACCUACGAAAGAUUGGAGACUUGUCGCACAUCUGGAAAGAUUAGUUUAAUCUAGAUAGUAAAAGAAGGAAUCGAAAGGCGUGCUAGGAGUUUCAGCCAGUAAACCAUGCCAGGGACUGUACUCUUCAAAGCAGUGAUGGGGCAUGAUCAGGAUGUGUCUCUGAGCACGAAGACCCUUCUUCUUGUCUUCUUAGGAUGGCGAGAAGUAUUCUUCCUCAGGCUAGCAGGAUUAUUUUUCCCCACCAUAACUCACUAGCACAUGGUUCCUAAGUUUUGACAUUAACUCUGGCGGUUUGGAAAUGUGCCUGGAUCAUUAUACUGAAGGCUCCUCUUAUUUAUGUAACCUUUCAGAGUUCACAGAGGGCUACACACAGCACCUCAUGAAUAAAGGCAUCAUUAUCUCC